UGGUGCUUGCACCUGAUUGAUUUUGGUCGCCAACGAGUGGCGGACGGGUGAGUAACACGUAGGUAACCUGCCCAGAAGCGGGGGACAACAUUUGGAAACAGAUGCUAAUACCGCAUAACAACGUUGUUCGCAUGAACAACGCUUAAAAGAUGGCUUCUCGCUAUCACUUCUGGAUGGACCUGCGGUGCAUUAGCUUGUUGGUGGGGUAAUGGCCUACCAAGGCGAUGAUGCAUAGCCGAGUUGAGAGACUGAUCGGCCACAAUGGGACUGAGACACGGCCCAUACUCCUACGGGAGGCAGCAGUAGGGAAUCUUCCACAAUGGGCGCAAGCCUGAUGGAGCAACACCGCGUGAGUGAAGAAGGGUUUCGGCUCGUAAAGCUCUGUUGUUAAAGAAGAACACGUAUGAGAGUAACUGUUCAUACGUUGACGGUAUUUAACCAGAAAGUCACGGCUAACUACGUGCCAGCAGCCGCGGUAAUACGUAGGUGGCAAGCGUUAUCCGGAUUUAUUGGGCGUAAAGAGAGUGCAGGCGGUUUUCUAAGUCUGAUGUGAAAGCCUUCGGCUUAACCGGAGAAGUGCAUCGGAAACUGGAUAACUUGAGUGCAGAAGAGGGUAGUGGAACUCCAUGUGUAGCGGUGGAAUGCGUAGAUAUAUGGAAGAACACCAGUGGCGAAGGCGGCUACCUGGUCUGCAACUGACGCUGAGACUCGAAAGCAUGGGUAGCGAACAGGAUUAGAUACCCUGGUAGUCCAUGCCGUAAACGAUGAGUGCUAGGUGUU
rnacentral:rRNA from 2 species